AAUCAACGCUGGCGGCGUGCCUAACACAUGCAAGUCGCGCGCGAAAGGGGGGCAACUCCCGAGUAAAGCGGCGAACGGGUGAGUAACACGUGGGUAAUCUACCUUCGAGUGGGAACGAACACCGGGAAACUGGUGCUAAUUCCGCAUGACAUCGUCGGGGCGUUCGGUUCUGACGCUCAAAGCUGGGGAUCGCAAGACCUAGCGCUUGAAGAUGAGCCCGCGUCCGAUUAGCUAGUGGGCGGGGUAAUGGCCCACCAAGGCUUCGAUCGGUAGCCGGCCUGAGAGGGCGGACGGCCACACUGGAACUGAGACACGGUCCAGACUCCUACGGGAGGCAGCAGU
rnacentral:rRNA from 1 species